rnacentral:rRNA from 1 species
GAUGAACGCUGGCGGCGUGCCUAAUACAUGCCAGUCGAGCGAACAGACGAGGAGCUUGCUCCUCUGACGUUAGCGGCGGACGGGUGAGUAACACGUGGAUAACCUACCUAUAAGACUGGGAUAACUUCGGGAAACCGGAGCUAAUACCGGAUAAUAUAUUGAACCGCAUGGUUCAAUAGUGAAAGACGGUUUUGCUGUCACUUAUAGAUGGAUCCGCGCCGCAUUAGCUAGUUGGUAAGGUAACGGCUUACCAAGGCAACGAUGCGUAGCCGACCUGAGAGGGUGAUCGGCCACACUGGAACUGAGACACGGUCCAGACUCCUACGGGAGGCAGCAGUAGGGAAUCUUCCGCAAUGGGCGAAAGCUUGACGGAGCAACGCCGCGUGAGUGAUGAAGGUCUUCGGAUCGUAAAACUCUGUUAUUAGGGAAGAACAAAUGUGUAAGUAACUAUGCACGCCUUGACGGUACCUAAUCAGAAAGCCACGGCUAACUACGU